rnacentral:rRNA from 1 species
UAGGCCUACGGGAGGCAGCAGUGGGGAAUAUUGCACAAUGGGGGGAACCCUGAUGCAGCGACGCCGCGUGAGUGAAGAAGUAUUUCGGUAUGUAAAGAUCUAUCAGCAGGGAAGAAAAUGACGGUACCUGACUAGGAAGCCCCGGCUAACUACGUGCCAGCAGCCGCGGUAAUACGUAGGGGGCAAGCGUUAUCCGGAUUUACUGGGUGUAAAGGGACCGUAGACGGCAGAGCAAGUCUGAAGUGAAAGCCCGCGGCCCAACUGCGGGACUGCUUUGGACACUGCCCGGCAAGAUGGCUGGGGAG